GAUGAACGCUGGCGGCGUGCUUAAUACAUGCAAGUCAACUGAACUUGAAGUAGCAAUAUUUCAAGGGAGGUGGCGCACGGGUGAGUAACACGUAGGUAAUCUGCCUUUAGGUCUGACAUAAUUCCGCGAAAGCGGGACUAAUUUCAGAUGAUGCAGCGGCUCGACAUCGAGACAGUUGUUAAAUCUUCGGAGCCUAAAGAUGAGCCUGCGUCUGAUUAGGUAGUUGGCGGAGUAAAAGCCCACCAAGCCUGCGAUCAGUAGCUGGUCUGAGAGGAUGAUCAGCCACACUGGAACUGAGACACGGUCCAGACUCCUACGGGAGGCAGCAGUAAGGAAUAUUGCUCAAUGGCCGAAAGGCUGAAGCAGCAACGCCGCGUGGAGGAUGAAAUACUUUUGUAUGUAAACUCCUGUAAGAAGGGAAAAUAUUUCGAUUUAUCGGAAUUGAUUGUACCUUCAGAGUAAGCACCGGCUAACUACG
rnacentral:rRNA from 1 species